rnacentral:rRNA from 1 species
GAUGAACGCUGGCGGCGUGCCUAAUACAUGCAAGUCGAGCGAACAGACGAGGAGCUUGCUCCUCUGACGUUAGCGGCGGACGGGUGAGUAACACGUGGAUAACCUACCUAUAAGACUGGGAUAACUUCGGGAAACCGGAGCUAAUACCGGAUAAUAUAUUGAACCGCAUGGUUCAAUAGUGAAAGACGGUUUUGCUGUCACUUAUAGAUGGAUCCGCGCCGCAUUAGCUAGUUGGUAAGGUAACGGCUUACCAAGGCAACGAUGCGUAGCCGACCUGAGAGGGUGAUAGGCCACACUGGAACGGAGACGCGGUCCAGACUCCUACGAGAGGCAGCAGUAGGGAAUCUUCCGCAAUGGGCGAAAGCCUGACGGAGCAACGCCGCGUGAGUGAUGGAGGUCUUCGGAUCGUAAAACUCUGUUAUUAGGGAAGAACAAAUGUGUAAGUAACUAUGCACGUCUUGACGGUACCUAAUCAGAAAGCCACGGCUAACUACGUG